GAUGAACGCUGGCGGCGUGCCUAAUACAUGCAAGUCGAACGGGGAGUAGCAAUACUCUUAGUGCCGAACGGGUGAGUAACGCGUUGGUACCUGCGCCGAAGCGGGGGAUAUCGGACCGAAAGGACCGCUAAUACCCCAUGUGCUCGGCAACGAGUAUAGUUGAAAACCACUUUGGGUGGGGACUGCGGCCCAUCAGCUCGUUGGUAAGGUAACGGCUUACCAAGGCGAUGACGGGUAAGGUAACUGAGAGGGUGGCCCCCCACAACGGAACUGAGACACGGUCGAUAAUCCUACGCGUGGCAGCAGUAGGUGAUAUAGCAAAUGGGCGCGAGCGUGAACCGGCAACGCAGCGUGAGCGAUGACUGCCUUCGGGUUGUAAAGCUCUUUUGACCUAGGCGAGUAAUGACGGUACCGGUCGAAUCAGCCUCGGCUAACUACGUG
rnacentral:rRNA from 1 species